rnacentral:rRNA from 1 species
ACGGGAGGCAGCAGUGGGGGAUAUUGCACAAUGGGGGAAACCCUGAUGCAGCGACGCCGCGUGAGUGAUGAAGUAUUUCGGUAUGUAAAGCUCUAUCAGCAGGGAAGAUAAUGACGGUACCUGACUAAGAAGCACCGGCUAAAUACGUGCCAGCAGCCGCGGUAAUACGUAUGGCGCAAGCGUUAUCCGGAUUUACUGGGUGUAAAGGGAGCGUAGGUGGUCUGGCAAGCCAGAAGUGAAAACCCGGGGCUCAACCCCGAGGAUUGCUUUUGGAACUGUUGGACUAGAGUGCAGGAGGGGUAAGUGGAAUUCCCAGUGUAGCGGUGAAAUGCUUAGAUAUUGGGAGGAACACCAGUGGCGAAGGCGGCUUACUGGACUGUAACUGACGCUGAGGCUCGAAAGCGUGGGGAGCAAACAGGAUUAGAUACCCUGGUA